UUUCCCGAUGCCACCGGGGUGGUGUUGCACUGACGGCUUGAGCCCGCCAUCGCUGCUUGCAGCUAUAUUAUUAGGGCUCAAGCCCAAAGGGCGAGAGGCCUAUUGUUUUCCUUAGGAUUAUUUUUUAUUAUUAUUAUUAUUAUUAUUUUUUUCCAACGUCUCGGGGGCUUUUGGGGCCCUUAACGUGCUUAAAAAGUCUUGAAAAUUGGCACACAGAUUGGAACCUGCGGCCAUUAGGGCCGGGCAGAGACUGAUACACAGGCGUGGCACAGGGGCUCUACAGCGCCCCCUGGAAUAUGGAGGGCCAUAUAUCAUACAUUCUUGCUCGUAGACGUAUGAAUCUCGGUACACAUAUAAAUCUCAUCAAUCCAAACAACUUUUGUAUUGCAUAUCAUAGGCUCCGCCCAACAGGAAGUUGGCUAUUUAGGGUUUAGUAUUCAAAUUUUUCGUCAAAGUUGUGGGGGCUUUUGGGGUCCUUAACAUACUCAAAAACUCUUGAAAAUUUGCGCACACUUUGGAAACUGUGGCCUUUAGGAGCCUGCAGAGGCUGGGACCCGGGCGUGGCACAGGGGCUCUACGGCGCCCCCUGGAACACAGUCAGAAAUGUUGAUGUAUAGCUCACACAUACUUGCACAUAUUCAUAUGAAACUCAGUACACAUAUAGAUCUCAUCGUGCCGAACAACUUUCGUAUUGCAUGUCAUAGGCUCCGCCCAUCAGGAAGUCAGCUAUUUAGAGUUAUGUAAAAAGCGCAUGCUCUGGAAUUUGAAAUACUUGUCAUAGGUUUUUUUCUCGAUUGUCGCCAAACUCGGUCAACAUGAUCUCAAGACACUGGGGAUGAAAAAUUGCCAGGGGAUUUUUGAUAUCUCGAACGGUUUGCUCGUGGCGAGGCGUUGAAAUUAUGGCGAGAAAUGAGAAACAGGAAGUGUCUAAUACCGUCCACAUACAUUUCCUGAUUUUAAUCAAACUUCAUCAGAUUAUUCGUUGUAUGAUGUCGAUCGCAUAUAUGUGACUAUUAGGAGUCAAAGUUAUAGCGCCACCAACUGGCAGAAGGAAGUGUGUCAUUUUCAAAAUGAUUUGAAUUCAGCAUCUUAUUAUUACUCGAUUUGCUUCAAACUUCAUCAGAAUAAUGUUAAAACACAGCCGAUAUAAAUCUGCAAGGGGGAUAUUGAUAUCUAAAAAAUUGUUGGCGUGGCAACAUGUCAAACUGGAAUACUUCUCAGGUGAUUUUGAGGCAAAUAACAUACUUAGAAUUUCACAAAACUCUGAACACACAUCAGUAUUUCUGAUAGGAACUUAAAUUGUGAAUGGAUUUUGGAUAGCUUGAAUGGUUUUGCCGUGGUGAUUUUUUUAAAUGACCUUACAAAGGGAAUCAUUAUUGUAUUUUUAAAUUGCAGCUUCCAAACACGUCAAAUAAUUUUUUCAUACAGAUGAAAAAGUCAUUCUGAGGAAAUAUGCAUAGUUUCACGACUUUACAACACUGUAUGGAUAACAGAAAAUUAAAAAAACUGUCAGACAUCUCAUCUCACUCUGUCCCUCUGUUUGAUUAUAUGUGCUUCAGACUUCCAUUGUCUGAGAGAAAUAGCGCCCCUACAGGUUCAAUUCCCGGACUUUUACUUUCACUUUUAAAUCGGUUAAAAAUACAAACAAAUACUUAGAUUUAAUUCACACUGACAAGCUAAACCAACAUAUCUGAUUAUUACCGGUUCAGGGCUCAUGGAUACAUUAUUUCUGGCCAGAGAUAUGUGAGAAAUAGGAGAGAUGAAUCACCGCUGUGACCACGAGCGUCUGGAGUAAAGAGCUCAGAGAAAACGAAUUUAUUCCUGUUUUAAAGCUUUUAAAAAUAAAUUAUUACAGCGAUAUCACACAAUCAACCAAUUAGAACACACCAAGAGCUAAAUUAAGAUGUUUUUGAACUGUUUGUGUGAAAAUGAAAUAUUUGCAGCUGCCUAUCUGAAAUCACCGCCUCCGAUCAGCGCGUACAGUGUCGAGCUCAAAACAAACGAAUUUAUUCUUGUUUAAGAGCUUUUUUAAAUAAAAUAUUACCACAAAUGCACACAAUAAACCCAUUGUAACACAACAAGAGCUAAAUGCAGGUGUUUGUGACCUGUUUAAGUGUGCAAGACUAUUU